CCUACGGGUGUCAGCAGUGGGGAAUAUUGGGCAAUGGGCGCAAGCCUGAACCAGCGACGCCGCGUGAGGGAAGACGGUCUUCGGAUUGUAAACCUCUUUCAGCAGGGAAGUCAAAAGGACGGUACCUGCAGAAGAAGCCACGGCUAACUACGUUACAGCAGCAGCGGUAAUACGUAGGUGGCAGGCGUUAUCCGGAAUUACUGGGUGUAAAGGGUGUGUAGGGGGGUUUGCAAGUCAGAUGUGAAAAUUAUGGGAUCAACCCAUAACCUGCGUCUGAAACUACAGAUCUUGAGAGUGGGAGAGGGAAACGGAAUUCGCGGUGUAGCGGUGAAAUGCGUAGAUAUCGGGAGGAACACCAGUUGCGAAGGCGGUUUACUGGAC
rnacentral:rRNA from 1 species